AGAAGCCACUAGUCCAUAUGGAGCUUCCACUUCUGCAAUUUCCAUCCCUCUGCUCUCCCUCCUCCCCUCUUGAUUUUUGCAAUAGUAAUGCUGCAAGGGAUCAAUUUCUUGACGGCUUUGUUCUAGAGGCAUAUAUAAACUAUUCGAUCCAAAGUCUUGGGGUUUGUCAGAUUAUUAUUUGCUCUUGCGGGGGCAUUGUAUUUUUCUCUGGCACCCAUUUCUCUGGUACAUUUCUCGAGAGUUUUCUAUCAUAAGAAAACUUUAUAUUUAUUUUUUAAAUCGAGUAAACAUAAUUUUUCAAAAUAAUAGGAUAAUUAUCUUAAAUUUCAUUUUUAGGGAAAAGAAAGGGAGCUCAAACAAGCAAUUAUAUUGUUUUGGAGUUACCCAUUGGAUUAUUUUUCAAUGGCACUGCUGCUCUCCAAGACUCCUAAUAUUGUCUGGUGUCUUCGAUUUGUUUUUCUCUAUGAGGGUUCUUGUUCUUGUUCUUAUUAAUAUGUUUUUUCAUAGAGAAAAAAAGUCAUCCAUUACAGAAGCCCAUUAAUAGCCCACUGAAAUGGAACUCACUAGCAGAGCUCUGCACCAGCUAAUCAAAUAGUUUUAAUGCACAUAAACUUGAUGUGUAGUUGCGGUCCAAAAUAUAUUAGAUAAUUACUUAAGUGAGUAAAAAAUGUUUAGUUUAUAAGCAUAUAAUAUUAUAAGACUAUUUAAAACUUGUAAUCAUAAUAAAAGACUAGCAUAUAUACUAGAUAAAUAUUAAAUCAUGCAUAAGAAACUGAAAUUAACUUUCAGCAUGCAUGAUUAAACAUAUAUUAAAAUUAUAUUUAAACUAAAAGCAUAAAGCUAAGAUUAAUUAUUUAUUUUUAAAGUUUUAAUGUUCAUUACUUUGUGAAAAAAGACUAAUUUUAAUAAACUCAUGAUUAUUUUUAAGCGAGGUCUAAUAUACUCAAAAGAAUAUUCACCCGAAUAUCUCUGCGAUGACCGAUCUAAGUUCUGGGCUAGGAGGAAAGUAAAGAGGAAAAACAAGAGUUUUAUAAUUGAAGGGAAUUAGCUGGAAAAAAGGUCAACUAAUAAAGAGUGCAAGAAAAGUCACAAAAUUCUGUAGAAUUUCUGUCCGAAAUUGUCUAGAAAAAUCAACUAGAAGCAUUCUCCAGCCCUCUUUUACGGAGUAUUUGGAGCAAAACUAAUAAAGAAUUAAUUCUAUUAAUUACUAGAAUUAAUUAUUAUUAUUACCAGCUUUGAUUGUCUGUCAUGAAAUAGAAUUAAAUCUUACAAUUUUAGCUUUAAAUAUGAUAUUUUAAGAUAAUUUCCAAGUAAACAAACAA